rnacentral:other from 1 species
UGUACCCUGCUGUGUUCGUGAUAUUGCCCUCACGUUUUGAGCCAACAUCCCCCAAAAGGGUUCUUAUCUCAAGGAAAUAACGCGAUAGGCCUGAGCCAAGGCGGCGUUUCCGGGUCGGGACCCACCUGCGAAAGCAGGUUCAAAACCUAGCAGUACACGGCAUAAGCGGGGUUCGA